rnacentral:rRNA from 1 species
UACAGGGGGUGCAAACGUUGCUCGGAAUUAUUGGGCGUAAAGCGCACGUAGGCGGUUCGUUAUGUCAGAUGUGAAAGCCCUUGGCUCAACUGAGGAAGUGCAUCUGAAACUGGCGAGCUAGAGUAUGUAAGAGGGUCGCGGAAUUCCCGGUGUAGAGGUGGAAUUCGUAGAUAUCGGGAGGAACACCGGUGGCGAAGGCGGCGACCUGGGACAAUACUGACGCUGAGGUGCGAAAGCGUGGGGAGCAAACAGG